UGGGGAAUAUUGCACAAUGGGGGGAACCCUGAUGCAGCGACGCCGCGUGGGUGAAGAAGUAUUUCGGUAUGUAAAGCCCUAUCAGCAGGGAAGACAAUGACGGUACCUGACUAAGAAGCCCCGGCUAACUACGUACCAGCAGCCGCGGUAAUACGUAGGGGGCAAGCGUUAUCCGGAUUUACUGGGUGUAAAGGGAGCGUAGGUGGCGUGCCAAGUCAGGAGUGAAAACCCAGGGCCCAACUCUGGGACUGCUCUUGAAACUGGCAGGCUUGAGUGCUGGAGAGGUAAGCGGAAUUCCUAGUGUAGCGGUGAAAUGCGUAGAUAUUAGGAGGAACACCAGUGGCGAAGGCGGCUUACUGGACAGUGACUGACACUGAGGCUCGAAAGCGUGGGGAGCAAACAG
rnacentral:rRNA from 1 species